rnacentral:rRNA from 1 species
GAUGAACGCUGGCGGCGUGCCUAAUACAUGCAAGUCGAGCGAACGGACGAGAAGCUUGCUUCUCUGAUGUUAGCGGCGGACGGGUGAGUAACACGUGGAUAACCUACCUAUAAGACUGGGAUAACUUCGGGAAACCGUAGCUAAUACCGGAUAAUAUUUUGAACCGCAUGGUUCAAAAGUGAAAGACGGUCUUGCUGUCACUUAUAGAUGGAUCCGCGCUGCAUUAGCUAGUUGGUAAGGUAACGGCUUACCAAGGCAACGAUGCAUAGCCGACCUGAGAGGGGUGUCGGCAACCUGGGACCUGAGAAGCGUCCCAGAACCCUAGGGGAGGCAGCAGUAGGGAAUCUUCCGCAAGGGGCGAAAGCCUGACGGAGCAACGCCGGGGGAGUGAGGAAGGGCUUCGGUUCGUAAAACUCUUUUUUUAGGGAAAAAAAUAUGUGUAAGUAACGGUGCACAUUUGGAGGGGACCUAAGCAGAAAGCCCCGGCUAACUACGG